GUCAAUAUUUUGGCAAAAUUUCGAAAUUGUUGAGUGAUUUACAACUUUUUACCAUCAUAUACACAGUUUAUUAAUGUUAUUAUGCUGAUGAAACUAUUCAGCCUCAUAAUUAUAGCGUUUUUAAUUAAUAUUCAUUUAGGGUAUGGUUUCUUUGCAUGGAGUUCAUCGAAAUGUGAGGCAAACCAAGCAGGCACGACUGGAAAAUAUGUGAAAAAAGACUUAAACGAUGUUGAAGUUAUCAACGUUGACGAAAUAAAGGAAGAGUGUGGAAAUCAUAUGAACGAAACAGAAAACACUGCUUAUUGUUCUGGAUUCAAACACGUUUAUAAUCCUUUCAAAGAUAUCGUACACAGAAAGCACGUUUUAUCUGCUUGUACACGAUGUGCACAAUGUUUAGCAAUUUCUGCAGAGGUACGCAAAAUAUUUGAUAAUAUAAUUGGCAAUAAAGAACAUUUAGAGCCAAACGAAGCAAAAUGUAAAGUGAAUCAUGCAUUAGCAGAAGAAUUCUGCAAACGGACAUUUACAAGUCACGAUUUAAGAAUAUGUAAUGGACUGACUAUGUUUGCUAAAAUGGAAGAAGGUGGAACACAUAUUCGCACACAUUUUGACGGGCAAUGGCCGCCAAUGUUAAAGAAGAAGUGCUUAUUAUUCAUUCGCCAAAUGGAUGUUGAUUCAAAAUAUAACUUUUUUCAUCAGUACAGGUUGGGAAUUAAGGAUACUGAUGAUUUUCUUUGUCGAGGUGAUGGUGUGUUUAGAGAAUGUAAAAACCUUGUAAACGAGACAAGUGUUAUAAAUUCAAAGUCAGAAGAGCCAGUUUCUUUUUGGUCGUCUUGCUUUUUCUAACCUAUAAAAUGAAAACGCCAUUUUAUAAGAUUUACUAUUAAUAAUAUUUUAAUAUAAUAACUUAUACAUUUGUUAUUAGA